rnacentral:rRNA from 1 species
GAUGAACGCUAGCUACAGGCUUAACACAUGCAAGUCGAGGGGAAACGGCAUCGACAGCUUGCUUUUGAUGGGCGGCGACCGGCGCACGGGUGAGUAACGCGUAUCCAACCUGCCCAUCACUUGGGAAUAACCUUGCGAAACUAAGACUAAUGCCCAAUGACAUCCCACGAAGGCAUCCGAAUGGGACUAAAGAUUUAUCGGUGAUGGAUGGGGAUGCGUCUGAUUAGCUUGUUGGCGGGGUGACGGCCCACCAAGGCAACGAUCAGUAGGGGUUCUGAGAGGAAGGUCCCCCAAAAUGGAGCUGGGACACGGACCAAAGCACUAAGGGAGGGAGCAGUGAGUAAUAUUGGGCAAGGGGCGAGAGCCUGAACCAGCCAAGUAGCGUGAAGGAGGACGGCCAUAUGGGUAGUAAACUGCUUUGAAAAGGGAAUAAAGUGGGUCACGUGUGACUUUUUGCAUGUACCUUAUGAAUAAGGACCGGCUAAUUCCGUG